GCUCUUUCUGGCAAAGGUAAUGACAUACGCAUCUGUGCCAGCAUCCCAAGAGUGAGGCUGGUUUCUGGAAAUCCAUUCUGACUCUGUGACAGCGGGGAUGGAUGUGACCUUGCCCGUGGUUAGAAAACAAAUUUACUGACAUGGUGAAACCCCGUCUCUACUAAAAAUACAAAAAUUAGCUGGGCAUGGUGGCAGGCACCUGUGAUCCCAGCUACUCGGGAGGCUGAGGCAGGAGAAUCACUUGAACCCAGGAGGCAGAGGUUGCAGUGAGCCAAGAUCGCGCCAUUGCACUCCAACCUGGGCAACAGAGCAAAAAGAUUCCAUCUCAAAAGAAAAGAAAAGAAAUCUGUUAAUAUUAUUAAAAUAUUUAUGUCACUUUGGAGAAUCUUCCCUUAGAAGUAAAAGCUCCAAUACAUAAAAGACAGAUGAACAUGUGAACAUGGACAUUUAUUGUAAAAAUUGUUCUUAAUGGCAAAAAAACCCCCAAAACCAAAGCAAACACUAGAAUCAAAGUAAAUACCCAUCAACUGGGAAAUUGUAGAAAGGAAAAAACUAUAGUGUAUCCAUUCCAUAGAAUGUUAAUAUAGCCAUUAAGGUGGACAAAUUAAAACUAUGCUAGUGGACUUGAGUGGAAUUCCACAAUGUUCUCUUGAGUGAAAAAUGCAAGGUAGAUAUUAAGUAUGUUAAAUAUGACUCCAUUUUUUUAAAUCAUUAACAAAAUGUCUCUAGGUGUUUGUCAGCAAUAAACGGUAUCUAUAUAUGUUUAUUUGAUUUUAUGUGCAUGAAGAAAAGUAUAGAAGAGUAUGCAUUGACUUGGAGGGAGGUGGGUAAUGCAGGUAGGUUAUGGGGGAGUCAGGGGUGUAGGGAAAAGGAAAACCAAAAAAGAAAAAUACAUAAAUGACUGAAUCACGGGUGAUACCACAAAUGUGUGAGUUAGUAAAUUUGGCUGGGGAUGGGGGAGCUAGAAUUUUGCUAAUUUGUGGGGAUGUUCAUGGUAUAUAUUGUAAAAAGGGAAAAUUUCAUAAUAAUGUAUACGAUUCUAUUUUUAAAAAAAGUAAAAACUCCUGUGUGUGUAUAUAUGCAUGUGGAUGUUUAUAUGAACAUAGAAAAGUGUAGAAGAAUACACACGAAGGUGUUAACAUUCAUUGGUUACCUUGGUGGAGAAGGGUAAUAAGUUUUCUGAAUACCUUUGCAUUGUCUUGUUCACAUAUAUUGCUUUUGUAAUUUG
rnacentral:lncRNA from 10 species